ACCAAACAAGGGCAAAAGAAAUUCCAUUAAAAUUAAACUUGGGCAAACAUCAAAGGUUUUCAUUACACGUAACAACUUUCAUUACUCUAAGCAAUUUAUCAAAAAUCAUCCACUUCCAAUUUAAAAAUACAUAUUAAUAAGACAUCAGGGAACACAUCUCCCCCGUCCUUGCAACAGUUUAAAUGCAUUCUUGGAUUACAUAGGAUCUGCUUUCCACAAAUACAGAAGGAAUUGAGGUGAAUAAAAACUGAAGUUUAGCAAGGUUCUUUCCACAACAGAAGGAUCUGCUUUCCAAGGUUCUUUCAUC
rnacentral:lncRNA from 1 species